rnacentral:lncRNA from 1 species
CCGCCGCCCCGCGGCGGCUGAGGAAGCGCUACCGCGUCGUCGCCGAUCUCUACGCGGCGUCUCUGCCGCUCCGGGAGAAGCGGAGGAUCCGUACGCGGAUUCGCAAGAGGUGAGCGAUCGAUCAUCUCGCUAGGGUUUUUUUCUUCUCCCUUUCUCGUUUUUCCUUUAAUCCCCUGUAAAUAGUUCCUAAUUUAGGCUGUGUUUAGGCGCAUGUAAUUAGGGUUUAGAUGUGAUUAAAAAUGUAUAAAUUGUGGGAAUAAAUCGACGGUGUUUACAUAAUUAAGUAACAAAUAAUAAGUGCAACUUAAUUCGCUACUAGUGUUUGUUGUGUUUUGUAAGAAAUUUUAGAUGAUAUUUGGGAGCAGUUAUGUAAGUGUUACAUAAAAUCAUAUAUCAUAUAAUUAGUAAAGUUAAUCAUUUGUAUAUACUUACUACUCGAAAAGGAUCAUCAUCUCAAUCAUCAGAUUUGCUUUUCAUCACUGCUUUAAUUAAGACGAUUUGAAUACAAACCUUAAUUCAAAAACAUUGAUUUGGA